ACCCAGGCGACAAGUCCUAAACAGGACGAAAUGUGCAUCCUGGAU
rnacentral:hammerhead_ribozyme from 1 species